CGCUGGCGGCGUGCCUAACACAUGCAAGUCGAGCGGGGACGACACGGCGGACAGGAAGUUUCGGACAGACUGGAAGAUGUAUGUUCUAGCGGCGGACGGGUGAGUAACGCGUGAGCAACCUGUCCUCACAGGGGGAUAACACAGCGAAAGUUGUACUAAUACCGCAUAAGACCACGGCGAGACAUCUCGCAGGGGUCAAAGGAGCAAUCCGGUGAAGGGUGGGCUCGCGUCCGAUUAGAUAGUUGGUGAGGUAACGGCCCCACCAAGUCGACGAUCGGUAGCCGACCUGAGAGGGUGAUCGGCCACAUUGGGACUGAGACACGGCCCAAACUCCUACGGGAGGCAGCAGUGGGGAAUAUUGGGCAAUGGGGGAAACCCUGAACCCCCAGCAACGCCGCGUGAGGGAAGAAGGUUUUCGGAUCGUAAACCUCUGUCCUAUGUGAAGAGUAAGAGACGGUAGCAUAGGAGGAAGCCCCGGCUAACUACGUGCCAGCAGCUGC
rnacentral:rRNA from 1 species